rnacentral:pre_miRNA from 1 species
UCACCUGAGGAUCUUGUUAAAAUGCAGAUUCUGAUUUAGUAGGUCAGGAGAGGGGCCGGAGAUUCUGCAUUUCUAACAAGCUCCCAGGUGAUG